UUCUUCAGUCAACACAUGACUAUACAUAUUUUUCUAAUAAUCACACAAUGACUUGUAUGAUUGUAAUUUGGGUAUUAUAUUAAGUGGAAUUUAUCUUGUUGUCUUGGCUUAUAUAUUGAUGCUUACUAAAAUUGAAUCAUGUAGAGUAUCACUAGUUGGGUUUCUUUCCUGCGUCUGCUACUGGUUUGGAGAGUUUGGCUUGAUGAGGGUCUUAAUGCAUAGUUGGGGAAUUUAUUCUUGUUUUCUCUGACAAACUUAUGUGCAUACUGCUACUUCUGUAACUCUUUUUUCCCGUUGCUCGUGACUAGAACUUGCUGCUAUAGCAAGUAGUGGCUGGAUACUCUUUUCUUUCCAUAUGUUUCUUGCUUUCCCCUGCCUUUCUAUGUUUCUCUGUUUCUGUCUUUUUGGCCUUGGGGCUGUAUCCUGUUUGUAUCUACUAGCACAUCUUGUGCUCUAUUAAUAUAUGAAUUUGACCUAUUCAAAAAAAAAAAAAAACUCAUGAUUCAAUUCCUUGGAGUUAGGGUGUCUCUUUCACUUAUGUUGUUUUGGCCAUAUACAAGCUGUUUUGUCUCUUUCACUUAUGAUUCAAUUCGUUUCUUGGCCCACCUUUAAGAAUUAUUACUCUGUUUUUAGCAACUUGAAGCUUAUCCCUGAAAUCAGAUUUGGGUUGGUUGAGUUCUAGUGAAGCAUGAAGUAGUGAUAUUUACAUUUAUUUGGACCUUGUGACAUAACAUAUGAGAUUUAUUUAUUGCUUUUUUAAUCUCGGGGUUCUGAGUAAAUGGUGUUUUUUUCUUUGUUUCUAUUAUGUGGAUACUUCAACUAAAGUAACCUGUAGUGUACAUACAAUGCAAUGAAUAAAUGCACAUAAUUGAUAAUAUCCAUUUUUCUUGCUUCUCCUAUAGCUCUUUGCUUCUAACAUAGUCUUUUCCAUUUCAGUUUUGGGUCCUUCUACCACCAGCUUCUGGAGUAUCUUCAACCUAACAAAGCAACAAUCUCCUAGUCAUCACCAAUCAAAGUAAAGAAAAGAAACCUGGAGGAGCUGAGUUGCUGUCAAGAUCACUUGUAGGAAAUAAACAUGGGGAAUAAAACACAAACUCUGAGUGAACUUUGGUCUGUGUAUAGAUUCUGCUUCAUGUUUAAUUGUAGUCUUCAAGGGCAAUGGAUGAGACCAUGUUGCUUGAUAUAUUUGUUAUGAUGUGAUCUUUUCCAGUGGAGAAUAUUGUCCAACUACAUGUUGCUUUUUUUUUAUUUGGUAUUUUUUAUCUUUGCUUUCCUUAUUUGUAAUAUAAGAUGUUCCUCUUGCAAUUGUUCUAUUGCAGGUUACAGGUUUUGGUUCUGAAUAUUGUGAUCAUGGUAUGAAUUUAUCAAAAAUUCUUAAAAGUAAUAUAAUGAAAUGAGUAGCUUGUCUUUA